rnacentral:rRNA from 1 species
UGGCUCAGAACGAACGCUGGCGGCGUGGCUAAGACAUGCAAGUCGAACGGACCGGUCAAUUGGGUAACCGAGAGGCCGGUUAGUGGCGAAAGGGUGCGGAAUAAGUAGGUAACGUGCCCUGCACUACAGGAUAGCGUCUGGAACUUCGGUUCCUUCCGAAAGGGGCGGUAAUACUGUAUAAUGUCAUGAAACAUAAGUUUUAUGACCAAAGAUUUAUCGGUGCAGGAGCGGCCUAUUUCCUAUCAGCUUGUUGGUGAGGUAACGGCUCACCAAGGCAGCGACGGGUAGCGGGACUGAGAGGUUGACCCGCCACAUCGGGACUGAGACACUGCCCGGACCUCCACGGAGGGCUGCAGUAACGAAUAUUGCGCAAUGGACGAAAGUCUGACGCAGCAACGCCGCGUGUAGGAUGAAGCCCUUCGGGGUGUAAACUACUGUCAGGGGUCAGAAAGUGCGCUUCGGCGUAUUGAUCAGCCCCAGAGGAAGUCACGGCUAACUUCGCGCCAGCAGCCGCGGUAAUACGAAGGUGGCGAGCGUUGUUCGGAAUCACUGGGCUUAAAGCGCGCGUAGGCGGAAUGGCAUGUGCUUUGUGAAAUCCCACGGCUUAACCGUGGAAUUGCUUGGCAAACUGCUAUUCUUGAGGCAAGCAGGGGUGUAUGGAACUCUUGGUGGAGCGGUGGAAUGCGUAGAUAUCAAGAGGAACGCCAAUGGCGAAGGCAGUACACUGGGCUUGUCCUGACGCUGAGGUGCGAAAGCGUGGGGAGCGAACGGGAUUAGAUACCCCGGUAGUCCACGCUGUAAACGAUGUCUACUAGGUUGUGGAAGUUCUGACGCUUUCACGGCCGAAGCAAAAGUGUUAAGUAGACCGCCUGGGGAGUACGGUCGCAAGGCUAAAACUCAAAGGAAUUGACGGGGGCUCACACAAGCGGUGGAGCAUGUGGAUUAAUUCGAAGCAACGCGCAGAACCUUACCUGGGUUUGACAUGCUUGGAUGCCUGCCUGGAAACAGGUUAGGUUGCCCCUCGGGGUGAAACUUGCACAGGUGCUGCAUGGCUGUCGUCAGCUCGUGUCGUGAGAUGUCGGGUUAAGUCCUUUAACGAGCGAAACCCUUGCCGUUAGUUGCCAGCGAGUAAUGUCGGGGACUCUAACGGGACUGCCGGUGUUAAACCGGAGGAAGGUGGGGAUGACGUCAAGUCCUCAUGGCCUUUAUGCCCAGGGCUUCACACGUGCUACAAUGGCGUAUACAAAGCGAUGCGACACCGCGAGGUGGAGCAAAUCGCACAAAAGACGCCUCAGUUCGGAUUGCAGGCUGACAACUCGCCUGCAUGAAGUUGGAAUCGCUAGUAAUCGCGUAUCAGCUAUGACGCGGUGAAUGUGUUCCUGAGCCUUGUACACACCGCCCGUCAAGUGAUGGGAAUCGGGAGUACCCGAAGUCGGGUUGCUAACCUUAGGGAGGCGCCUGCCGACGGUAAGCUCGAUGACUGGCACUAAGUCG